rnacentral:lncRNA from 1 species
GACGUCAAUGCAGGUCAGCAGCAGACUCUCCGGGAGGGCGGGCGGGCUCCCGGCUUUCAGGCUCCGCGCAGUCUGCGGGCGGGAGGGUGCCAGCGAGGUGGUGAGGGCGGUGGGUGCGGGGACGCAGCAGCCCUGGCCAAGCCCAGAGACCGGAGGACACCCCCCUCCCAGCGCUCUAACACGGGUAACUUCCCGCUGCCCGGAACGGAGUUUCUCCGUUACCCACGGACAUCCAGGAGGCCGUGUGGAGGGCAAGCAGGGUAACCCCCACUCCUAAACCACCUCUAUCCAAGGGGAGCCCGAGGAGCCAGCAGGUCCGGACACUCUGAGGAGGCUCCUCGUGGGGCCUCCCACGCACAGGUGCUGAGCUGGGCCAGCGGGUAUCUCCAGGCAGCCUCUGCUAAUGAGCUCUUAGCAGGUCCCAGCUCUGCUUCCCUGACCCCAUCUGCAGUCGCAAGCAAGCCCCAGCCCUGGAGGGGCUGCACCCUGCAACCUUCCCACAGCUGUCUCCUUUGGAUCUUUUUGCGGUCUGGGCUUGCUGUUCUCUCGACAGUAGUCAGGAAGCCCUUACCCCAAAAAGUAUCUACGGGAGGCUUGGUCUACAGGGGAGACCCCCAAGGGCUCCAGGUGAGUCACACCAAACUCAAGACUACCAUGUGGAUCCAGGGCGUCUUUGCCAUACCUUAGUAUUGCUGGGUGACCAUGGAUCAAGCCCUAAGCCUUAAGUUGGCAAUCUUCCUAAUGCUGUGACCCUUUAAUACAGUUCCUGAUCUUGUGGUGAUCCCAGCCAUAAUAUUGUUUUGAUGCUACUUUGUAAUUGUAAUUUUCUACCAAUAUGAAUUAUAAUGUAAAUAUCUGAUAUCAGGAUAUAUAUGACCCCCAAGUGAGUCGUGGCCCACAGAUUGAGAACCACUGUCCUAAGACAUUCUGUGCCCCAGUGACCUCAUACCUUUCCUGAUAGACAAUGUUUAGUAGGAGUGGCUUUAGUCAAAGCCAGCGAAGGCCACUUGGGUAGAUGUUGCUGGCUAUCAUGGGCACACCUCUCAGGGCUGUCACUCAAUAUGCCUAGCCCUCCUUCCUGGCAUUGGGUAGACAUGAGAUCCAAGACAGGCCUGGCUAUUGGAAUCCUGGGCAGAGGGACCUGUGACUGGGAACACCACAGUUGAUCCCAGCAGCCGAGUGAAGAUGGUAAGCCUCUGCGGCAGGAUGAGGUGUCUGCCUGCCGUCCCUUAGCCUGAGUCAGUCACCAUGACCCCCUUUCUCCUGUGAGUCACUACUAGUCCUUCAAAUAAAAUCCUUGACUGCUCAAGUUAA